AUUGAACGCUGGCGGCAGGCUUAACACAUGCAAGUCGAGCGGGGUGAUGGUGCUUGCACUAUCACUUAGCGGCGGACGGGUGAGUAAUGCUUAGGAAUCUGCCUAUUAGUGGGGGACAACAUCUCGAAAGGGAUGCUAAUACCGCAUACGUCCUACGGGAGAAAGCAGGGGAUCAUUUGUGACCUCGCUCCAAUAGAUGAGCCGAAGUCGGAUUAGCUAGUUGGUGGGGUAAAGGCCUACCAAGGCGACGAUCUGUAGCGGGUCUGAGAGGAUGAUCCGCCACACUGGGACUGAGACACGGCCCAGACUCCUACGGGAGGCAGCAGUGGGGAAUAUUGGACAAUGGGGGGAACCCUGAUCCAGCCAUGCCGCGUGUGUGAAGAAGGCCUUAUGGUUGUAAAGCACUUUAAGCGAGGAGGAGGCUCUUUUGGUUAAUACCCAAGAUGAGUGGACGUUACUCGCAGAAUAAGCACCGGCUAACUCUGUGCCAGCCGCCGCAGUAA
rnacentral:rRNA from 1 species